rnacentral:snRNA from 1 species
AUACUUACCUAGACGGGGUCAAUGGUGAUCAAGAAGGUCCAUGGUCUAGGUUGGUGGCCUCCAUUGCACUUGGGAGUGGCACCUGCCUAACAUCUCCUCAAGUGGGAGAAUGUACGUCAUAAUUUGUGGUAGCGGGGGCACGCGUUCGCGCGGCCCCUAU